rnacentral:rRNA from 1 species
AGAGUUUGAUCCUGGCUCAGAGUGAACGCUGGCGGCGUGGUUUGGGCAUGCAAGUCGAACGAUCUACGGAUAGUGGCAAAAGGGUGAGUAACGCGUGAGCAAUCUACCCUUCAGGAUGGGAAUAACCUGCCGAAAGGCGGGCUAAAACCGAAUAUGACCACGACCCAUAUGGGUUGUGGUAAAAAGUGGGGACCCUUCGGGGCCUAUUGCCUGAGGAUGAGCUCGCGUCCUAUCAGCUUGUUGGUGAGGUAACGGCUCACCAAGGCAUUUGACGGGUAGCUGGUCUGAGAGGAUGGUCAGCCACAUUGGGACUGAGACACUGCCCAGACUCCUACGGGAGGCUGCAGUCGAGAAUCUUUUGCAAUGCCCGCAAGGGUGACAAUGCGACGCCGCGUGAGUGAUGAAGGCCUUCGGGUUGUAAAACUCUGUCACAUGGGAAGAACUUCGGUGUCUCUAACAAAGGCAUUGGAUGACGGUACUAUGAGAGGAAGCCGCGGCUAACUCCGUGCCAGCAGCCGCGGUAAUACGGAGGUGGCAAGCGUUACUCGGAUUCAUUGGGUGUAAAGGGCAUGUAGGUGGCCUGAAAAGUCGAACGUGAAAUCCCUCAGCUCAACUGAGGAACUGCAUUCGAAACUGCCAGGCUUGAGCGACGGAGAGGAGAAGGGAAUUCCCGGUGUAACAGUGAAAUGUGUAGAUAUCGGGAGGAACACCAGUAGCGAAGGCGAUUCUCUGGACGUCCGCUGACACUGAAAUGCGAGAGCUAGGGGAGCAAACAGGAUUAGAUACCCUGGUAGUCCUAGCCGUAAACGAUGUGCACUAGGUGUUGGCCCCUCAGGGGUCAGUGCUGCAGUUAACACAUUAAGUGCACCACCUGGGGAGUACGGUCGCAAGACUGAAACUCAAAGGAAUUGACGGGGACCCGCACAAGCGGUGGAGCAUGUGGUUUAAUACGACGCUACGCGUGGAACCUUACCACGGCUUGACAUAUACCUGAAAUCCCUCCGAAAGGUGGGACCUCUCGCAAGAGACAGGUAAACAGGUGUUGCAUGGCUGUCGUCAGCUCGUGUCGUGAGAUGUUGGGUUAAGUCCCGCAACGAGCGCAACCCUUGAUUAGUUGCCACCCAGCAAUGGAGCACUCUAAUCAGACCGCCAGUGUUUAACUGGAGGAAGGUGAGGACGACGUCAAGUCAGUACGGCCCUUACGCCGGGGCUACACACGUGCUACAAUCCCCGCUACAAAGAGACGCGAGACCGCAAGGUGGAGCAAAUCUCAAAAAAAGCGGGGUCAGUUCAGAUUGGGGGCUGCAACUCGCCCCCAUGAAGCCGGAAUCGCUAGUAAUCGCGCAUCAGCCACGGCGCGAUGAAUACGUUCCCGGGUCUUGUACACACCGCCCGUCAAGCCAACUGAGUCAAUUGCACCCGAAGCCGCUAUUCUAACCGCUGGGGGGAAGGUGUCGAAGGUGUGAUUGGCAAGGAGGGCUAAGUCGUAACAAGGUA